GACGAACGCUGGCGGCAUGCGUAACACAUGCAAGUCGAACGGGACGUUCGGGUUUCGUUGGGCGACGGUGGGGAACGGCGGGGGAACUGCCCUUUGGUAGGGGAUCACUCGCUGAAAGGGGCCCUUAUAACACAGAAGGUCGUGGGGCAAAAGAGUUACUGCCACUGGAUGGGGGCGCGUUGGUUUAGCUGGUUGGGAGGGUAAAAGCAUCUCAAGAGGACGAUCCAGAGCUGGUGUGAGAGGAAGGUCAGCCACACUGGGAGUGAGACACGGCCCACACCCCUACGGGACGGAGCAGUGGAGAAUAUUGGACAAUGGGCGAAAGUGUGAUCCAGCAAUGGCGCGUAAGUGGUGAAGGCCUUAGGGUUGUACAGCUCUUUUACCCGAAAAGAUAAUGACGGUACCGGGAGAAUAAGCACCGGCUAACUCCGUG
rnacentral:rRNA from 1 species